rnacentral:rRNA from 1 species
AUGGCCACCGGCGGCGACCACGCGGCGGAGGAGCUCGUGUCCGUCGAGAUGCCCGCGCCCGAGGGAUGGACCAAGAAGUUUACUCCCCAGAGCAGGGGAAGAUCUGAGAUUGUUUUUGUUUCACCAACUGGAGAGGAAAUUAAGAACAAGAGGCAGCUGAACAGCUAUCUGAAGGCAAACCCUGGAGGCCCCACUUCAUCGGAGUUUGACUGGUCAACUGGUGAUACCCCAAGGCGUUCUGCUCGGAUUAGCGAGAAAGUGAAGGUAUUUGAUAGCCCUCAGGGUGAAAAGAUACCAAAGCGCAGUAGGAACUCAAGUGGCAGGAAGGGGAAGCAAGAGAAAAAGGAGGAUCCUGAAACUGAAGAAGACAAAGAAGCUGAAGCGGGCAAGGAGGCCCCUAGUGAAGAUGCUGCAAAGAGCACUGAUGUGGAGAUGACGGUUGCUGAGGCGAUUGAUGCUGCAAAGAGCACUGAUGUGGAGAUGAAGCCUGCCGAGGCGAAUGAUGCUGCAAAAAGCGCAGAUGUGGAGAUGAAAGUUGCUGAAGAGGUGAAAGCUGCUCCUAGUGAAGAUGCAGGGAAGCCUGAAGACUCCACUCCAGCACCUGCAGAACACAAGGAAGAUGUCAAACCAGCUGAGUCUGAUGCCGCUCCGGUACCAGCGGCGGAGGACAAGAAUGAAGAUGUCAAACCUACUGAGUCUGAUGCCCCUCCAGCACCAACAGUGGAAGACAAGAAGGAAGAUGCCAAGCCAGCUGAGGCCGAUGCCCCUCCGGCACCAGCGGUUGAAGACAAGGAAGACGCUAAGCCAGCUGAGGCCGAUGCCCCUCCGGCACCAGCUGAGGCCGAUGCCCCUCCGGCACCAGCGGUUGAAGACAAGGAAGACGCUAAGCCAUAUGAGGCUGAUGCCCCUCCGGCACCAGCAGUUGAAGACAAGGAUGAUGCUAAGCCAGCUGAGGCUGAUGCUGCUUCGGCACCAGCAGUGGAAGACAAGAAGGAAGAUGUCAAGCCAUCUGAGGCUGAUGCCCCUCCUCCGGUGAGUUCGGAGGAGGUGAAGAUAGAGGAAGCUCCUCUGGUGAGUUCGGAGGGGGCGAAGACAGAGGAAGUAGCCCCUCCAGCGAGCAAGCCAACUGAGAACUCAGUUGUUGCUCCCAGCGAGCCAGCUAUUGCUCCUGCUCCUGCUGCAGUAUCCGAAACCAAAUCAGAUGCUGCCGCAGUAGACAGCCAACCUGGUGCGGCCACCAAUGAGUCGCCGUCCGCCGUCAACAAUGGGCAGCUGUCGCCUGGCGCCUCGACGGUGAAGUGCACCUGA